rnacentral:rRNA from 1 species
CCUACGGGGGGCAGCAGUGAGGAAUAUUGGUCAAUGGCCGGAAGGCUGAACCAGCCAUGCCGCGUGAAGGUCAGUGCCCUAUGGGCGUUAAACUCCUUUUGUGCGGGAGCAAUAAUGGUCACGUGUGGCCAGACGAGAGUACCGUACGAAUAAGCAUCGGCUAACUCCGUGCCAGCAGCCGCGGUAAUACGGGGGAUGCAAGCGUUAUCCGGAUUUACUGGGUGUAAAGGGCGUGCAGCCGGAGAGACAAGUCAGAUGUGAAAUCCACGGGCUCAACCCGUGAACUGCAUUUGAAACUGUUUCCCUAGAGUGCUGGAGAGGUAAGCGGAAUUCCUAGUGUAGCGGUGAAAUGCGUAGAUAUUAGGAAGAACACCAGUGGCGAAGGCGGCUUACUGGACAGUAACUGACGUUGAGGCUCGAAAGCGUGGGGAGCAAACAGGAUUAGAUACCCUAGUAGUC